ensembl:lncRNA
GGAAAUAUUGCUCUGUGUAUCGGGGCUGCAGCAACAGGAAAUAGUGAACAGGAACUGUGCAUGCCCAUAUAUGGGAACUGAGUGUGUGCAGAAAGAACACAGAGAGACAGACGAGGAAAUGGGAGCAAAUGAAGCCUUUAAGAAAAAAAUGAAUAUAAUACUAAUUAUAUGGUCAAUACAGGUGGGCGUCUUUCAACUUUGCAACCUUGAGUUCAGCAGCAGAAAAGUAGAUUAAAAGAAUUGGGAGAAUAAGCCAGUUUUUGGCUCGAAAUUGGGCGGCUGGAUCUCUCACUUUGUCCCUGAAGCAGAGAAGAAGUUCAAAGGACAGUCAAUCGCCUGAUGAAGACCGAUAGAACAUUGUGGACUUGAAUACAGCAGGCAAACGGCAGUGCCACUGAUCCAUUAACCCUGAUGACGACUGACGACCAGCAGCAGCAUGUAAGAGUAAUGUAACAUGUACUGUGAAAAUACAGGCUGGGCAGUUGAACAGUGGGAUAAAGAAUUGUGGAAGAGCACUGGACAUUGAGUGAUAUUUUGCCAUGCUGGGACUUAAUCUGAAAGAAAGACUGUAAAGAAACAGAGAAGAAGACAACAGCUGAGUUGAGACUGUGUUUGCUGGAGCUUUGAAGCCCGAACAGGACAUUGUGCAGAGAGGACCAGUGAGAGAUGAAGCUGGACGAGUUUGACUGCGAGAAUAUAGGAUAUAAUUGGAUUGAAAAUUGAAACCUGAACUCAUGAAUUGUUUAGGGAUGUCCACCAUAGCAUAACAAAGAGGCCUGGAAGAGAGUGAACGGACGGCGCUGACAAAAUUACCAAGUACGAAAAUCAGGUGGGCUUUACAGAAUUAUAAUUGAUUACAAUCAGAGACUGAUUGGCGGCAAGUCUCUGUCUAAAAAUGGAUUGUAUCGAUUCAAUCCAGUCAAAAGUAUAGAGAACUAUUUUCCUAAACAGGAAAACGAAAUAAAACGAAUGAUUGAGCUCAUUUUGCUGAUGUGGAGCAUCUGAUGACGUGCGCAGGAGGCUGCAGAUCAGCAAAAAAAUAUCAUGUGUGAAUGCAUGUGAGUGAAUGUGAGUGACUGGACUAAGGUGGGAAUGAAUAAAUGUGGACAGAUUUAUCAUGUGAGGAAAAGAAAGAGGAUGCUUUGUUUUGCUUUUGCCAUAGGCAGGACAAGUGGGAGACUUAAGUCUGGGGAGGCUGAUUUUGGGAUGCUGAUGUUUGCUUUGAGAAAAUUUCUUUUUACGGGGGUUAGAUUAUGGGAUUACAUUAUAUUGUUGGGAGAAUGCUAAAUGCUAAAAGGGAAACAUUGUUUGAUGAGAUUCAAGUUACCAUUAACUGAGGUAACUCAGGAUUAAUAACUGUUCUGUUCAAGUUUAUUUUUGUUAUGACAUAGACGGGAUCAUAAAGGGAGAGUUGAGUAUGAAAUGUAAACUACAGGUUUUGUUUUCAGGAAAUUCCAAGGAUCCAGAGUUCAAUGGAGCAACGAGUUGGAGAAGAUUUGACAUGAUGAUUAAAUUGAUUUUGUUCUUUAAACACAGGUUUUCAGGGCUAAAGCAAAACACCGGAGAGGAGAAUUGCUGAGCUGUUCUGAGAAAUGAAAUGAC